UUUCAAUAUUGUUUUUUGCUCUUAGUUCUCAGAAAAGUUCAAAUUGAGAGUGUUGAGAAAGCGACUUCAUAUAUUUUUUUACAAGAUACUUUUAAGAUAAUUUUACAAAAUUAUUUGCAAAAAUAUUCUAAGAUAAAUCGUAAUCGUGUUGUGUCAAGUAUAAGCCAUGGGUGAAUUUAAUGGGACCAUUAUUAUGACUGUUCUCAAGCAACUAGGUGAUAAGGCACCAAUGGGUCAAUUGAUUAAAAAAGUUGCUGAUGCUUUGAAGAAACCAGUAGACUCCGUGAGGGACACAAUUAUGCAAACUGUAGAGGGCGGCGUUCAGUUAGGUUACUUGCAAAGGCAAGGUAACUACAUUAUUGCCUCCAGUUUGACUAACGAUAUGAAGCUGAAGGACCGCCCGGUGUCCCCACGGAAGAAGGGUAAGAAGCGUAAUAACAACCCACGUGGCAAAAAACGCAAACCUAAGCCUAAGGCUCGUAAGAAGAAAAAACGUUAAGGACAGAGAAAUAAGCGUAAAUAAAAAUUCUAACAUCGACUGCCGCGGAAUUGAGACCUACUAGUCCAGUCGAGAAAGUCCAAUAAGUCCACUUACAACAACACAAGGCGAUUACUGUUAAUAACCAUACUAUGAUAUAUUCGGAUAAACAGGAGAUAUCUCCUGCAAUGAUAAAACAAAGAACACAAUAUCCACAAUGUGACAGUGUGGAAGAAGGCGCAACGUGCUGUUUUAACUGAAGGGAUGGUCAUUUAAAACAACUAUUUAAAGGUUAAGAAAAUAUUACUGUUUGACAUAAAUCUAUAAAUUUUAAAAUAUUUUGCAAAGUUCUUAUUACGACUUAAUGAGAAUUACCAAACAUUGUUACCAAUAUUGCAACUUAAAAUAACGAAGACAACAUUUAUAGUAGUCGCAAAUAUAAUAUCACUUAGCAGAUCCACGAGUAUGAAAAUACCGAACCUGUUACAUUCAUCAAUAAACUCAGAAACAACUAUUGCAGAAUUCAUAAGAGCAUGACCACAGUCUUAGUCAAAUUGUAAAACAGUAGCUCAGUAAUUAUUGUGGUAGGAAUAUAGGACUACACUUGCUUAAAUAUCAGCCUAAUUAUUAAAGUGGCACCAUUACUCAACAGUGAUGAUUCCUGCUUAAACAAAUGAAAUAUACACUAGUAUAAAUGCACAGUGGAAUUGGAUUUCAAACCCUGACUGGAUCUAUACUUUGGACCAAGGUCUGAAUCCUGGACUGGACUGGUAUUUCGCUGGUAGAAUGUUAGGAAAUAUAUAUGUGAGAAUAGAAAGAAAGAAACUAGCCACAGUAUUUUAUUAAAAUGCUUACUUGAGGGAUUUUCUUCUGGUGUAGCUGAAAAAUACUCGAGAACUGACCAAACAGCUUGGUUUUUUCAACAAAAAAAUAAGGAUGGACUAAGUGGAACUCAAAAACUCCAUUCCAAACAAUGGAUAAGUGGUUUAAGGUUCCUAGAAUUUUUUUUAUAUAUAAUAUAGUAAAAAAAAUCGAGAGGUUUAUAUAUAAACGUAAUUGAUUUGUGUAAGGAUUGUUAAAAUACGUUUUUUUUUAAAAAUUCAAAACAAGAAUGAAUCAAA